CGCUUGGCUAUGAUUUGUAUAACAAAACACUAUAUCAUUAUUUGAAGUUAGAUUUUUUUGCUAGUUUGUAAGUGAAAUAUUUACCUCUUGAUAUGUAGGGUAGACCUGGCAUUGAUGGGAAGAGAGGUCUGGCUGGAAAAGAUGGAGAGCAAGGACAAAGAGGAGAUGAUGGCAAAAAGGUAUGAUUUGGAGCAAGUCUGGCUAUUCCCCACAUCAACACAAUAAACCAUUUUUGUGAUUUUGCUUCUCUAACUGUAGGGUGAUACAGGUGAAACUGGAACUGAUGGUAAAAAAGGGGAAUUGGGUGCUCCGGGCCUGCCUGGUACCCAUGUUCUGGUUACUCAACAGGAGGGUGCCACCCUUGAAGAGAUGCGACAGGCAUUCCCUUUGCCAAUGGGACCUCCUGGGGCUAAAGGUCCACCAGGGAUGAAGGGUGACGCUGGUCUUCCAGGGGAAGCAGCUGACAUGAAGAACAUUGAAGUCAUGUUUGAAGACUAUGGCAUAAGGCUGCCCUUGCUGAAGGCACUGAUUGACAGGCUGCUGCAGGACGGCAUGGUGGAGCUUCUGCAGGACCUAACCACCUCUAGGAGAGUCAAUGAGAAGGAGAAACACGGCUCCAACAUUAUCACUGACUACACAAGAACUGUAAAGUAUGAGAUCUCCAAGGAGCCUCUGACAGAGAUGGACACCAUAGAGGAGGCAGUUGACUCUGACUUAGACAGACAGCUACCAGAACCUAACUCUGAUGCUUUGGAUGAAACGGCGGAGGCCCCCACAUUCUGGAGCCUCACCACUCUUAAUGGUCUUAAAGGGGUCCAAGACGUGGGGAGGAUAGAGAGCACCUCUAAGGGGACAGAGGGGACACUGACAGUGGACGAGGAGUUCAGUGAAGCUCCCUCGCCCAAGUUGACUUUAUCAAACUCAACAUUUAACAACACUACGUCUGAAGAGAGGGUCUCUGAGGUACCAGGGGCAAUAGUAGAAACUGUUCUCCUCAGUGGGGAAGACUCCUUGAAGAAAAAGAAGAGUCGAGAACGGAAGGGCAAGGGACAGAAAGGACGACAUAAGAGGCAAAGAGAACGCCUGAUGAGUACGGAGGAGGAGGAGGAGGAAUUAUACGAUGGGGAAGAGUACAGUUAUGAAUAUGAGGAUUCCACAGAUGAUCCCUUACUGUCAAUGGAAAAGCAAGGGGAGUUUGAAAUCACAACAGAAAGCACACUACAUGGAAUGAGCAAAGAGAGUGGCCUGACAACUUUAGGUCCAUAUCCAUCCCAGUCACCGGGUGACAGUGAAAAGAAGGGGGAAUUCAUCACACCUAUCCUUCCCAGCACAACAGAAGAAACAGAGAAGGAUUCCACAGAUGAUCCCUUACUGUCAAUGGAAAAUCAAGGGGAGUUUGAAAUCACAACAGAAAGCACACUACAUGGAAUGAGCAAAGAGAGUGGCCUGACAACUUUAGGUCCAUAUCCAUCCCAGUCACCGGGUGACAGUGAAAAGAAGGGGGAAUUCAUCACACCUAUCCUUCCCAGCACAACAGAAGAAACAGAGAAGAUUUUCCCAAAAGAAAGCCCUGCCCAGUGUUCAAUAACAUGAAUACAUAGUCAGAUUGUGUCAUUAUAAUGAUUGGCCAACCAUCUUAGUGUCUGAGCACUUGUCAUCACUGCGUACAUUGAGAUCUUUCGUCUGACUAACAACUGUGAACAUUUCACCAGUGCAAAAGGACCUUUCCUAAAUCCACAAAGAUUGAGACUGUAGAUUUGUAAGCACGGAGUGUUUGUAUAAACUGUGAAGUGAAGUGUAUCGCUGGUGAGGAGCAGUCUACCCUUAACCUGACCAGCAUAACAUGAGGAGGGACUUCGCUUCGUCGCGCAAUGAUGAUGUCAUUUGUCCAAUGUCACUCGUCCAAUGCCACUUCUAUGACCAGAAUCGUUUCUUAUACUUAGUCCAAGUACCUAAAAGAUGAACAAUACAUAGGUAAAGCUAAGUUAAAUCAAGACAGUGUAUUAUAUAACGAUUAUUCGACUAAUAAAUUCUUCCAUCAGAUGUCAGUGUUAUUUUAGCGUUGACUUUGCAUAAACUAAUUUAUUUAUUAAAGAAGUUCAAAAUGUUACAUUGGACCUAAGCUAUAGUAUAGCUUCUCUCUGUUGCUUCAGUAUUCCAACACUUUUUACCUCCUCGUAAUUUGUUCAACCAUAUUCUAAUGUUUUCAGUGUAUCGCUGCUUAUCAAUUCCUCAACCAAACGUUAUUUAUUGAAAACAUGGAAAUAGAUUGUAUUUUGUUCCUUUUCUGUAUUAGUUACUACUUUUUCCAAUGAAAUGUGUUUCCAUCAUAUUUUUCAGAAUAUAUAGUAUUCAAACCUGUUUUCACUGGUGAAAUUUUGGCAGUCUAAAGUUCUCCCUUUGUAUUUAACCUCUCUGUGUGC
rnacentral:lncRNA from 1 species